AAGUCGUAACAAGGUUUCCGUAGGUGAACCUGCGGAAGGAUCAUUAACACUUUUAAAACAAAAUUUCCCUUUUGAAUCCCUCUCUUUUCUUUUCUCUUUCUCUUCUCUUCGGAGAGAGACUGGGGGAAGUCAAGAGAUUUUCAAAUUUAAUUUGAACAAAAAUGUGUAACCUUACUUUUUUACUUAUGGAUUUGAGGGCACAAGAGAGAGGGGGUUUUUCUCUCUCUCUCUUUGUGGUUCUCAGAUUUUCUCAUAAACCAGUUAAACCCAAAAACAAAAUAUGGCGUAUCUCAAAGGGACUUUUUGUCUCUCUGACGAUCCCCCAUAGUUAAACCAAAAACAAAAAACCAAAAACAAAAAACUAAAAAAUAAAACACAACUCUUAACAAUGGAUAUCUUGGUUCUCGC
rnacentral:misc_RNA from 1 species